rnacentral:tRNA from 1 species
GCUUUUGUGGUGUAAUGGUCAGCACGCUCGGCGCGUAUUCGAGAGGUCCGUGGUUCGAGUCCCGGCGAGGCCA